rnacentral:lncRNA from 1 species
UACAUACUUAAAACCAAGCAAAGGGUGGAGUUCCAUCUUUAAAAACUAAACAGGCAUUUUGGACAACACAUUCUUGGCAAUGGAACCUGGACAACAUUUAUCAAACACGGUAGGGAAAGUUCUCACUCUGCAUUAUAAAAAGGACAGCCAGAUAUCAACUGUUACAGAAAUGAAAUAAGACGGAAAAUUUUUAACAAAUUGUUUAAACUAUUUUCUUAAAGAGACUUCCUCCACUGCCAGAGAUCUUGAAUAGCCUCUUGGUCAGUCAUCCGGAAGCAAUUCUUCACAUAAUUGAUGAACUUGGCUUCCACUUUGGGAAGAGAACCACCUUUUUCUAUACUUGCUUGCAUUUUUGCUUUAAUGUCUUCUACGGAACUAGGUCCUUUGGUGUUUUAGGAGUUUUUUCCUGUUUUUUGAAGGAUUCUUGUCCUUUCUUCACUGGUGCUUUUUCUUCAGCUUCCUCAUCAUCAAAAUCAUCAUCAUCAUCAUCUUCAUCAUCAUCAUCUUCAUCAUCAUCAUCAUCAUCUUCAUCAGCAGCAAGUUUUACUUUUUUCUGUGGAACCUUGCUACCACCUCCAGGGGCAGACCGCUUUCCAGAUAUACUUAACAGUUUCACAUCCUCCUCCUCUUCAUCUUCUGACUCUGCAUCUUCCUCCACAGCUACUAAGUGCUGUCCACUAAUAUGCACUGGCCCUGAACCACACUUCAACCUUAAGACCACUGGUGGUGUUAUUUCAAAGCCCCCAAGGGAAACCGUUGGCUGUACAGACAUUUUCAAAGUUGCCAGUGUUACUUUAAUUGGACUGCCUUCGUAAUUCAUUGCCUCUGCUUCAACAAUGUGCAAUUCAUCCUUUGCACCAGCCCCUAAACUGACCGUUCUUAAAGAUAACUGGUGCUCAUUUUCAUCAUUAUCCACCUUAAAGUGAUAAUCUUUGUCGGCCUUUAGUUCACAACCGAAAAGAUAGUUCUGGGGCCUCAGGGGGCUCAUGUCCAUGUCCAUCGAAUCUUCCAUCAGGUGGCGGCACGCACUUAGGUGGGAGAGAAGGCGGACGGAGAUAAACGAACGCUGCUCCAGAGAACAGCCGCGCAGGACGGAAUCUCACCAGGGAAUCAUCAAUUAUUUUCUUCGGCCGUGUGACACCUGUCAUCUACA